AGAGCAGACUUCUUUCUGCACACGCCUUCCAGUUGAGAAACUCACUACCGGCGUGGAUUCCUUUAAAUCUCACGCCUUCUCCAACCUGCCACCCCACCCCCCAUACAAACGAGAUCUCCCGCAGGUCUCUCCACUUCUGCCAUCCACCAUCCUCUCCUGAGCUUCUGCCCCAUCACUCUUCAAACUCGUCAGUCCCUUUUAACUGAUGAGGGGCUGCCACUGACUGUCUCCUCUGGAAGUUACCAGCUCAGCUCAUUCCAAUCACCAUAAAGAUCACAGCCUUUUCAGAUGUCAUCGACAUGGGUACAUCAACUGCUGUAGAAACAAGAGAAUGCAGAUGAUUCAGGGUGGAGGAGACAUAAGGACACCAGCCGCAGCAUCCUGGUGCACAACAGAAAAGCUGUGUGUAUUGAGCAUAGACUCCAGGAUGUAUCAAUCUGAAUGUGGAAGAUGAGUCACAAAACAAAGGAGAGAUCAUCAGGCCAGAAAACACUAAAUAAAAGUUCAAACAGA